rnacentral:rRNA from 1 species
UGCGUAGGCGGCUUAUUAAGUCAGAUGUGAAAGCCCCGGGCUUAACCUGGGAACUGCAUUUGAUACUGGUAGGCUAGAGUAUGAUAGAGGGGGGUAGAAUUCCUGGUGUAGCGGUGAAAUGCGUAGAUAUCAGGAGGAAUACCAGUGGCGAAGGCGGCCCCCUGGAUCAAUACUGACGCUGAGGUACGAAAGCGUGGGUAGCGAACA